rnacentral:misc_RNA from 1 species
GCAAACUUGGUCAUUUAGAGGAAGUAAAAGUCGUAACAAGGUCUCCGUUGGUGAACCAGCGGAGGGAUCAUUAGCGAGUUCGUAUAACAACUCCAAAACCCUUUGUGAACUUACCCUGUUGCCUCGGCGUGAGCUGCGGCUGCGCGGUAGCUACCCUGUAGUUACCCUGUAGUUCGAACUUAAGGCCCGCCAGUGGACCACUAAACUCUGUUUUUAAUCACUGUGGAAUUCUGAAUAAUCAACUGAAAUGCGUUAAAACUUUCAACAACGGAUCUCUUGGCUCUGGCAUCGAUGAAGAACGCAGC